AUGAGUCCAGAGAGGGACAUACACUUGCCCCAGGUCACACAGUGGGGUCAUUCAGUCAUUCAGUUCACCUAUUGGUGCAGCGGGCAUUGCUGGUGUGCCUCUGGGGUGCCGCCGCUUAGAUUGCUGGGGCCAAGGGUUGGACUCUGGUCCUUGCACACAUCCAGCCUCAUUUUGCCCCCACAGCCUGCAUGGGGGUCUCUAUUGUUGAGCCUCCCCCAGGGCAGGACGCAGCACCCACCACAGCACCUGGCUCAGCAGGAGCUCGGUAUCUGCCAGCAGCCUUGGCGACGUCGAGGACGCUGUUGGCAUGCAACCCCUGAGCACUGUGGGUUGGGAGUCUUCGUUUUACAGAAGGGGAAAUGGAGGAUCAGAGAGAUGGGGGGCUGCCUAGCAGUUAGGGCCCAGCCCCUCUGGUCUCUGGGUCUUGGGAACGGAGCCUGUUCCUCCUGGGACGGAGACCUAGGGACUGCCAUGCCCAGAACAUGGCAGUGGGCACACGGGGGUGGCAGGGUCAGGCCCCAGGGCUCAGGACUGGGGGAGCUCCAGCUGCAGCUGCACAGCAUCUCCGGGUGUCUGCAGGUGAGCUCCCUAUGGCAGAUCCAUCCCAGGGCCCAGCUGGCAACUGGGGGUGGCCAUAUUGGGGACCCCCAAGCCCCAACCCUCUGGAUGCCCCCACCCUCACAGGGCUUCUGGUGGGCAGGGCAGCCAGUGCUCCCCUCAGGUAUCAGACAUGGAGGAAAGCACCAUGAAGCCUUCCAGACCUGCACCCAGACCCCCAGGCCUCCCCCCAUGGGAUCCCAGCCUUGCCUCCAGGAUCCCACUGGGUGUGUAGCGAAGGUCUGUGUCCAGGUGCAGGUGCAUGUGGGCAGCGCCUGGUGCUGGGGGGACAUUCAGUCCUGGCCUGUCCUCCUCUCCCAUCAGCAUGUCCAUCUUUCCCCAGAUGAUGCAGCCAUGAUCCCAAGGGACCCCACAUGGUCCCCCAGAGAACCUAAGGGGCUCCAGGGUGUCCCCAAGGGGCUGUGGGUCAUCCCAGGGGCUCCAGGGCAUCCCCAAAGGGCUCCAGAUUGUCCCAGGGGCUCCAGGUCACCCCAGGGCUGUGCAUGUCCCCGAAGCAGCCAGCAUGAUCAGAGCCUGGGCCGCCACCCUGGUCUGACAGCCUCAGGUCCACCUCUGCUCCCGAUUUAUGAGGGAAGAUGA
rnacentral:lncRNA from 1 species